rnacentral:misc_RNA from 1 species
GUGAAAUGCAGUUGCACAUACAAUUUAUCUAAAUGUAAGCAAGAAUUGUCAUACAAUUAUAAAGUAGAGUGCAAAUAGAGCUACCUGCCUUUUCAAGAAUAGUCUUAGAUGGAUAAAACACCUAGUCCAAAUUAUAGAUGCGAAGGAAAUAUCAAAUACAUAGAAAAUACAACAGAUAGAACACACACAGAGACACCAACAACAACUAAACUAGUACUGCCAAUGGUAGAGCUUAGAAUAGUGAUUUGAUGGAACUUAUGGUUUGUGCCAAAGUCAUAAUCAGUAGCAGUGCCGCUGCAAUAGUCGCAGUCCCUCUCCAAAGAUUGCUGAAAUAGACAAGUUUGAGGGUUGCCUUCCUGCGAUUCCAACUACUCUUAUAGUAUUUAUUCAACUUUUGACAAAUAGCAGUGUAACAAGACCCAUAUACAUCCAUUCCUUGGCAGAGAUUGUUAAUCAAAUUCGCCAUCAUUUUGUUGCUGCCUAGCCAAUGAAUAAUAAUUCCAGCAUCUGUGAGCAAAUCCACAUCUUCAGCAGUGUUGAUAAGAUGAUCCAUCAGGAAAAUGUAAUUGCAAAUGUAACUUUCAUAUUGAUACUGACACUGUUCCAAUGCCAUGACGUUUCUAAAUACAAUUUCAAAGUUUUCGUUGAUUUCAAGGACUGGCAUUUUCAAAACACCACUUUUAACAUCAAAUUCUAUGUCUAGCAAGGACUUACUGCCUUCCGCCACCUUAAACACUACUCCUGCUUGAUGCAAUUUGCUUGCACUAUACUUGAGUUUCGUAUGAUCAGGAGACCACGUCUGGGAGGCUCGGGAUGCGCCACACAAAAAAUAUCUCAUCAAACCAACAAAAUGCAAUAUGUCAUCAUCCUUCAAAGACUUAUAGACUUCAUUCUGAUUGUAUAUCGUGAAGCACUCGCAGACAAGCCCAGAAAAUUUUGCUUUUACUUUCAAUUCUGCAUAUAAUACGUUGAGAAUAAAAUACGGCAGCUGAUUUUCAAGUAGUAACAAAUCCAGCACCACAACUUUUCUCAGCGUUGGUUGACCAAUUAUAAAAUCAUUUUUAUAUUCUGAAUCUAGGCCUCUCAAAACAAACUCGAUGAUGAACACAGCAUCCAACAAAACCAUUUUUACAAACUUACUAGAAUCACCAAAAUUAGAGUUGUCUACAUAACAACUGCUUAUACGAUCUUUGUGGUCUCUAAUAAUGCUCGAAAAAUCACUCACAACUUCCUUUUCAGUCUUCCCACUCAUCCUUUUACAGAAUUCUUUAAAAUAUAUCAGUUUCUGAUUUUCCAUCUUAUCAAAUCUUUUUUUGCCAUGAUGAAUAGGGCCUAUAGAAAUUACCUGAGGAGUGUAGGCUUUUUUAUUUAUUAUGGGAAUUGUAGUUGGAAUAUUGUAGAUGCAAUUCUCAAGCUUCAAGGAAUUCUCCUUGGGGAUUUCAAUUACCAAUUCCUCGCGUUCUUGUUCAUCCAUUUGAUCCAUCUGUCAGACGUUUGCCCCCCUUGCACCAAAAAACUCAAAAUCUGGCUUCUUCCACAAAUGAGACUAUGCCGGGUAACAGAGGAGCUCCUGCUAAUUAAAAGCUGUGAUUAAAUUUUGAUGUGUGUAUAUAAUUUGAUUUCUC